AUUCCAAAUUAAAAGGUUCAAAAUGAAACUCCUUCCCUCCACUGAGCUUAGACUCUCCUUCACCGCGCCAGAGGUUAACCUCUGGCGGCGGCGGAGCCUCAAUGCUAACACCAAUUACAUCAUCUUUUUCAGUUUAAUGUCUUAGAUCUAAAUAUUGUUAUGACAAGACCUAAAUCUUCAUGAACAGUAUGAAUCGAAGCUAAACCUUGACGAAACCUAAACAUCAUAAACUAAAAUUAAAUUCAUCUCUUCCGGAAUCACAACCCUAGAUGUUAGGGAUUUGAUUCCCCUUACCUCCCUCUACAUCUCGGUAACAAAAAAUGGAGCAAACGACUAUGAAAAAAGAAACUCACCGGAGAAGACGUAGAGCACCGGAAUUCAGGAUAAUUGUUGCAGGGUGCUAGGCCUGUUAUGGAGUGUUUAGCUUUAUGUUGCCAUUCCUUGCUUGCUCAUUGAUGCAGGAUAGAUGUUUAGUUUUUAGGCUUUGGAUGGUUGGGCUGCAGAAUCGUGGCAGGUAGUGCUCAUGCGUGUGUGACUGUUGGAUUGAUUGCAUGUCUGCUAAGUUAGUGAAAUGGUUGUAGGCUGAAGUUGGAUUGGUGAUGCUUGCUGCAGGAUUUUGGUUUUCAUGUGAUAGGCAUUUGUUUACGUAUGUGGUCAUUGUAGAUGCUUGAUGCAGAAUGUUGUGAGGUGUGAGCUGUUGUAUUGAUGCAAUGACAAUAGUUGUGCAUUUUUGUAUUCACUUGUUGCAAGUUUAUUGUGAGGUAUGUUCAUGUUGUUGUGUGACUGUUGUAGGCAGGUGUGAGGUAUGAUGGCAAUGGUCAUGUAUGCUAAUACUUUGCCUAGGUUUUUCUUAAGUUGAUAUGAAAUGGUUUAGGUUGGAUUUGGUUAUGUAUUGACAUGUGAAUGGUUUUGAAAUGGUAAUGUGGUUUAGAAUGUGGUCAUGUAAUCUUAUGGUAUUGAAAUGAACAUGUAUUGAAUCAUGACAUUGCCUUA